ACUCCGACAUGUAAACGUCUCUAAAGAUCAUGAAACCAUGUAACAGAACUUUUGCAAAGCCCGGUAUGUCCACUGCUAUGCUCAUCAGCUCAACAUUAUCAUGCAGCAGGUGACAUCCCGUAUCCCAAAAGUUGGUCAGUUCUUCUCUGACCUAGCUGGAUUCUCAGGAUUUUUUUCAAGAUCCCCCAAGAGAACCAGUGUGCUUGACAGAGUGGUGGCACACAGGCUUCCAAGAGCAAGCACAGUAAGGUGGAACUUCCACAGCCGUGCUGUCAACACUGUGUUUGAGCACAAAGACGACCUCCUUCAGUGCUUCGAAACCAUCAGGGACUCAGGUGACUUUGAUCCUACCACUGUCCAUGAAGCUGGAGGUUUUGUGAGACUCCUGGAGGAUGCUACCUUCUGCUUCUUCCUGGAGCUUUUCCACCGCAUCAUGCCUCAUGUGGACAUGCUCUACGGCCAAUUCCAGAAGAGGUCCAUCGAUUCAGUCUUUGUCCACAGAGUGACGCAGCAUUUCACUGACAACGUGCAAAUGAUCAGAGACUUCCUCCCUACUGUCAGUGAAGAACAUCACAGCUGUGUGCCUCAGCAGCAGCUGGCCAAGAAGCGCCGCACACUGGGACCAGAUGAGCUACAGAGGUUUGUGGCACAAUCCUGGGCCAUGCAAAAGAGAGGCUUGCCUUCACCAAACACCUAAUCAGUGCUCCACUGCUUCAAGGAGACAGAUUCCAGGAGUAUGACAGCCAGUUUCCUGAAGCAUCGCUCAACACCACCAUGGAGGCCUAUCCAAUGCUGAACAAGGGCAAGCUGAAAACUGAACUGUCGCUCAUCUUCAGCAACACAGAGUUCAUUAGUUGCAAUGGUGCUGUGGCUCUGUACCAGCUCUUCAUGAGCAACAAUCUUCAGGACACCUUCUCAGAGACUGUGUCUCUCCUGAAGAUCCUCAUCACGACUCCAAUGACGACAGCUGAAUCUGAGAGGUGCUUCUCAACACUAACAAGAAUCAAGACCUUCCUCAGGAACACAAUAUCGCAGGAUCGUCUUAUAAUGCACUUCCCAUGCUCUCUAUGGAAAAGAAACUUGUCAGGGAGACCCCAGAUUUUAACCAUAGAGUCAUUGAGAAAUUUGCAUGUCUCAAAGACAGAAGAGCAAAACUUGCAUACAAAAAAAAAAUCACAGAUGUAGAGGUGCUGGCUUUAAUCUCUAAAAUGUGAGGAUUUACUUUUUUGUCAUUUAAUAAUGUAAACAGAAAUGUUAGUUGACACAAGUGGCACUUUAGACUGAAAGCCUGUUGAUUUUCAUAUGUUCUGAAAUCUGAGGAAUUACUGUUUUUCUUUAUUUUCAUUUUAAAUAUUUAAUGUUAGUUGACAGAAGCACUUUGGGCUCACAGCCUAAGAUAAGAUAAGAUAGGUUUUAUUUGUCACAUGCACAGUUAUACAUAGUAUAAUGCCUAAUGGUUUCAGUUUUUUUUUUUUUUAGGCAAAGUGACAAGUUUUUAUUGCUUUGAUCUUAAAUAUGCAGAUUUGCUGUUUUCUCAUUGUCAUGUAAGGUUGUUAAUGUAAAAGUUAGCUCACAGAAGCACUGUCUGCUUUAAGCCUUAUAGUUAGGUUUUUUUUUUAACAAAAUGUCCAAUGUUUGUUGGUUUCACAGGUAUGGAUUUGUUUUUUUGUUUAUUUGAGUAUGUAAAUAUAAAUAUGUUGUUCCAAAGAUUUUGCUGGACAGAAGAAGCACUUGACACUCUUUGAAGCUGGAAAAAUGAAUUGUUUCUUUUUUACUUUUGAAGUAAAAAAUAGAUUUGCAUAUUUAUACAUUCUUAAUUUGUUUAAUUAUAGAAAAGGAGAUUUUAAGGGUUUGUGUACCAAUUACACCUUAUCUGGAGCAAAUCAUAUCAAACACUGGGGAGAUAAAUUCAAAUUCACUAGCUGGUAACAUUUACGUGCAUUUAAUUGUCUAUUUGACUCAGCAGUAGUGCUUAGGUGUACCCUCGUAGUGGUGCAUAGUAAUAGCACAUCAAAUGGCUGUGAACAUAAUUUACAUCAAUUCGUGUAUUCCGGUGUUGCCGACUCUGCUAUUUGGUUUGGUAAAUUAAGUGCGCCACCCAAGAGAAAAAUUCACCAGCCGCCACUGUAUUUAAAAGCAAAAAUGGUUGUUUAAAAUAUUACAGAUGUGACUGACAGACUGAUAAAUGUGACGACUGUUAACAUGAUUCUGAUUACCUGCACAAAUAUCAUGUUAAAUCACCAUAUACAAAUAUAUAGGCAGGUAAAAACGAAGGUCUAAGGAUGAACUGUGAGUCUUUAUUUAAUUCAGCAACAUACCUGUCCUCUGCUGUCACUACUAUGAGUUGGGGAGUUUACUGAUUCACAAUUUUUAUGCACGACAAUGACGACUUUAAGUGUAUAAAAAUGUUAAAUUUCCUGCACUUUGACCAGUGUCUGGUUUGUUUUCAGUGCAGUGAGAGUAACCAAGAUGUAUGGAAACAUCUCCAUGACCUUGGCCCCCUAUAUUUACCAAAUAAAUAAACCAGUUUAUGUUAAAUCCAAAGUGAUGUUAUAGCUUUCUAGUGGAAUAUGUUUUCACCAUACAGUGCCAUGGAAAAGUAUUUACCCCCCUACAGAAAUCUUCUAUUUUUGUAUAUUUGUCUCACGUAAAUGUUUCACAUCAUCAAACUAAUUUUAAUGUAAGACAAAGAUAACCCAAGAAAAAGUAGUUUUUCCAAUGAGGAUUUUAUUUUUCUUUUUGAAGGAAAAAUGCUGUCCAGUCCAUCUUACUCUAUGUGAAAAAGUAAUUGCCCUCAGAGCAACCAGUCUACCAAAUGGUCAAAUUUAGGUGCAAUCUUGUCAGCCUCACUCACUUAUGCUUACUGCCAGGCUUGUUGGAUUUUAACAUCAGUGAAUAGAACCUGUCUGACAUUGUGAAGUUGUUAAAAGAUCUCAAAAAGCAGCAUGAUGCAAUGUUCCAAAGAGAUUCAAGAACAGAUGAGAAACAAAGUCAUUGACAUUUAUCAGUCUGGAGGGUUUCAAAUCCAUUGUUGAGGCUCCGGGACUCCAGAAAACCACAGUGAGAAUUAGGAUGGAUGAAUGAAUAAAUGGAGAAACAUGAAACAGUGGUGAACUUUCCCUGGAGUGGACCAACGACCAACAUUUCUCCAAGAACAUCGACAUCUAAUCCAGGAGUCACAACAUCACCCACAUUAAUAUCUAAAGAUCUGCAGACCUCACUGGCCUCAGUUAAGGUCCAUCUACAUGAUUCCACAAUGAGGAAGAAAUGGAUCAAACCUUUACUGACCAAAAAGAACAUAAAGGUCUGUCCGGUUUUUGCAAAAAAAAUAAAAAAUAUCAAGGAGCCCCAAGACUGUUGGGAUAAAAUCCUGUGGACUGAUGAUUAUGAUUGAGAUUCUGUGGCAAGACCUUAAAAGGUCAGUUCAUUCUCAAAAAUCAUGUAAUGUGGCAAAAUUAAAACUGUUCUGCAGAGAAGAAUGAGCCAAAAUUCUUUGAUUGUGAUGUAAAAGACUGAUCACAAACAUUUAACUGCAGUUGUUGCUGCCAAGGGACCAAACACUUAUUAGGUGUAGGGGGGCAAUUACUAUUUCACAGGGGUGAUAUAGGUUUUCAGUCAUUUAAAAACUGCAUUUUGUGGGUUAUCUCCGUCUAAUAUUCAAUAAAUAGGAAUUUUAAGUAGAUGAUUUUGAAUAUUUAAGUGUGAGAAAUAUGAAAAAAUAAAAGAUUUUUCAUGA